rnacentral:rRNA from 1 species
UACGUAGGGGGCUAGCGUUGUCCGGAAUCAUUGGGCGUAAAGAGCGUGUAGGCGGCCCGGUAAGUCCGCUGUGAAAGUCGGGGGCUCAACCCUCGAAUGCCGGUGGAUACUGUCGGGCUAGAGUGCGGAAGAGGCGAGUGGAAUUCCUGGUGUAGCGGUGAAAUGCGCAGAUAUCAGGAGGAACACCAAUUGCGAAGGCGGCUCUCUGGGACGGUACUGACGCUGAGACGCGAAAGCGUGGGGAGCGAACAGG